CCUUUUUACCUUCCGUUAGGGGUGACCUGCGGAAGGAUCAUUACCGAGUGAGGGCCCUCUGGGUCCAACCUCCCACCCGUGUUUAUCGUACCUUGUUGCUUCGGCGGGCCCGCCUCACGGCCGCCGGGGGGCAUCCGCCCCCGGGCCCGCGCCCGCCGAAGACACACAAACGAACUCUUGUCUGAAGAUUGCAGUCUGAGUACUUGACUAAAUCAGUUAAAACUUUCAACAACGGAUCUCUUGGUUCCGGCAUCGAUGAAGAACGCAGCGAAAUGCGAUAAGUAAUGUGAAUUGCAGAAUUCAGUGAAUCAUCGAGUCUUUGAACGCACAUUGCGCCCCCUGGUAUUCCGGGGGGCAUGCCUGUCCGAGCGUCAUUGCUGCCCUCAAGCACGGCUUGUGUGUUGGGCUCUCGCCCCCCGCUUCCGGGGGGCGGGCCCGAAAGGCAGCGGCGGCACCGCGUCCGGUCCUCGAGCGUAUGGGGCUUCGUCACCCGCUCUGUAGGCCCGGCCGGCGCCCGCCGGCGAACACCAUCAAUCUUAACCAGGUUGACCUCGGAUCAGGUAGGGAUACCCGCUGAACUUAAGCAUAUCAAUAAGCCGGAGGAAAUGUGAGUGG
rnacentral:rRNA from 1 species